UACGGAGGAUGCGAGCGUUAUCCGGAUUUAUUGGGUGUAAAGGGCGCGUAGGCGGCCUAUUAAGUCAGGUGUGAAAGACGGUAGCUUAACUAUCGCAGUGCCUUUGAUACUGAUAGGCUUGAAUGUACUUGAGGUAGGCGGAAUGUGACAAGUAGCGGUGAAAUGCAUAGAUAUGUCACAGAACACCAAUUGCGAAGGCAGCUUACUAAAGUAUGAUUGACGCUGAGGCACGAAAGCGUGGGGAUCAAACAGG
rnacentral:rRNA from 1 species